GUGCUUGCUUUAGUAGCACAUAUACUAAAAUUGAGAUGAUACAGAGUUUAGGAUGGCCCCUGCACAAAGAUGACAUGCAAAUUUGUGAAGCGUUAAAAUAAAAA